rnacentral:lncRNA from 1 species
GGUCCGACGUGCAGAUAAUAAUGAGAAUUGCCACCUUCAAGUAUGAGAGGAAGAAGUCGUGGAAACAACCAACCUAUUUCAAAUUGUAUAUGUAGGGUGGCCCGUUCCAGGUCAUAAUGGCUACUAUCUACUAUGCCGCUACCAGCCACUACCAGUUACUUACUUAGCCGGGUUACUAUCUGAAAUAUAGAAUUUUGUACGUAGUAUCGUUUAGGUCGAGGUUCUGCCGCGAGCUAUCCAGCUUUUUUCAGUCAAGACGGAGUCCCACCCAGAUUGAGAAAUUUGGGAAGACUAUGUCUCGUGCGUGAGUCAGCUUAUCCUGAUCAAAGAGGUGCGCAGUACUGAUCUAGAAGACAAGGAAGAGAUCUUUUCUCGUUGUUCCUAGAGACUCUGUUUGUGUGAAGUACAUCACCAGGUACAAGAUCGAAAGAUAUGGAGCAAUGUCAUGCCCAAAAAGGUGAAACUACUGGCAUCGGGCCGUUGGCCCUAUCAAUAUCUAUUCUUUCACUUUCAAGUCGUUCUAUUCAACUCAAAAUCAAGGAGGUCAUCGCAAGCUAUGCCUAUCGCUUCCCCUCACGCACCUACGAGGCUAUGCCACUACAAAACAAAAGCAAUCGAUCCAUUUUUGGGUCAAGGGAUUGAAACUCUCGAGAUUUC